GAUGAACGCUGGCGGCGUGCCUAAUACAUGCAAGUCGAGCGAACAGACGAGGAGCUUGCUCCUCUGACGUUAGCGGCGGACGGGUGAGUAACACGUGGAUAACCUACCUAUAAGACUGGGAUAACUUCGGGAAACCGGAGCUAAUACCGGAUAAUAUAUUGAACCGCAUGGUUCAAUAGUGAAAGACGGUUUUGCUGUCACUUAUAGAUGGAUCCGCGCCGCAUUAGCUAGUUGGUAAGGUAACGGCUUACCAAGGCGACGAUGCGUAGCCGACCUGAGAGGGUGAUCGGCCACACUGGAACUGAGACACGGUCCAGACUCCUACGGGAGGCAGCAGUAGGGAAUCUUCCGCAAUGGGCGAAAGCCUGACGGAGCAACGCCGCGUGAGUGAUGAAGGUCUUCGGAUCGUAAAACUCUGUUAUUAGGGAAGAACAAAUGUGUAAGUAACGAUGCACGUCUUGACGGUACCUAAUCAGAAAGCCACGGCUAACUACGUGC
rnacentral:rRNA from 1 species